rnacentral:RNase_P_RNA from 1 species
AUACUCGGGUAAUCGCUGCACAGCUUGACUGUGCAGAGGAAAGUCCAUGCUCGCACAGACUGAGAUGUCUGUAGUGUUCGUGCCUGACGAAACCAUAAGUCAGGGGAGUUCUUUAGAACUUACGGCAGGGAAAAUUCCUACGUCUAAUGAUAGGGAAUGACUACCUUGAAAGUGCCACAGUGACGGAGCCGGUAUAGAAAUAUACCGGGUGGAACGAGGUAAACCCCGCGAGCGAGCAACCCAAAUUUAGGUAGGGGCACUUUUUAAAGGGAAAUGAACCUGAGAAAAGGCCGUUUUACGGCAGAUAGAUGAUUGCCACCGGAGUACGAGGCUGACCACCGCUGGCAGUACGAUGGAACAGAACAUGGCUUACAGAG